rnacentral:misc_RNA from 1 species
UCACACCUUACGGUGGCAGUCUCGCUAGAGUUCCCAGCAUUACCUGAUGGCAACUAACGACAAGGGUUGCGCUCGUUAUGGCACUUAAGCCGACACCUCACGGCACGAGCUGACGACAACCAUGCAGCACCUCGAUACAGACUAUUGCUAGCUAUGACAUCUCUGUCAUAUUCCUGCACCGUUCGAGCCCGGGUAAGGUUCCUCGCGUAUCAUCGAAUUAAACCACAUGUUCCUCCGCUUGUGCGGGCCCCCGUCAAUUCCUUUGAGUUUCAACCUUGCGGUCGUACUCCCCAGGUGGAUAACUUAUCGCUUUCGCUUGGCUACCGACUGUGUAUCGCCGACAGCGAGUUAUCAUCGUUUACAGUGUGGACUAC